UACGUAGGGGGCAAGCGUUGUCCGGAUUUAUUGGGCGUAAAGAGCGUGUAGGCGGCCAGGUAGGUCUGGUGUGAAAACUCGAGGCUUAACCUCGAGAUGUCAUCGGAAACCAUCUGGCUAGAGUCCGGAAGAGGAAAGUGGAAUUCCUGGUGUAGCGGUGAAAUGCGCAGAUAUCAGGAAGAACACCAAUGGCGAAAGCAGCUUUCUGGGACGGUACUGACGCUGAGACGCGAAAGCGUGGGGAGCGAACAGG
rnacentral:rRNA from 1 species